rnacentral:rRNA from 1 species
GACGAACGCUGGCGGCGUGCUUAACACAUGCAAGUCGAGCGGUAAGGCCCUUCGGGGUACACGAGCGGCGAACGGGUGAGUAACACGUGAGCAAUCUGCCCUUCACUUUGGGAUAACUCCCGGAAACGGGUGCUAAUACCGGAUACGACCACAUGUCGCAUGGUGUGUGGUGGAAAGUUCUGGCGGUGGAGGAUGAGCUCGCGGCCUAUCAGCUUGUUGGUGGGGUAAUGGCCUACCAAGGCUUCGACGGGUAGCCGGCCUGAGAGGGUGACCGGCCACACUGGGACUGAGACACGGCCCAGACUCCUACGGGAGGCAGCAGUGGGGAAUAUUGGACAAUGGGCGAAAGCCUGAUCCAGCAACGCCGCGUGAGGGAUGACGGCCUUCGGGUUGUAAACCUCUUUCAGCACAGACGAAGCGAAAGUGACGGUAUGUGCAGAAGAAGCACCGGCCAACUACGUGCCAGCCGCCGCCGUAACAC